GACGAACGCUGGCGGCGUGCUUAACACAUGCAAGUCGAACGGAAAGACCCUGCUUUUGUGGGGUGCUCGAGUGGCGAACGGGUGAGUAACACGUGAGUAACCUGCCCUUGACUUUGGGAUAACUUCAGGAAACUGGGGCUAAUACCGGAUAGGAGCUCCUGCUGCAUGGUGGGGGUUGGAAAGUUUCGGCGGUUGGGGAUGGACUCGCGGCUUAUCAGCUUGUUGGUGGGGUAGUGGCUUACCAAGGCUUUGACGGGUAGCCGGCCUGGGAGGGUGACCGGGCACAUUGGGACUGAGGGACGGCGCAGACUCCUACAGGAGGCAGCAGUGGGGAAUAUUGCACAGUGGGCGGAAGCCUGAUGCAGCAACGCCGCGUGCGGAAUGACGGCCUUCGGGUUGUAAACCGCUUUCGCCUGUGACGAAGCGUGAGUGACGGUAAUGGGUGAAGAAGCACCGGCUAACUACGUG
rnacentral:rRNA from 1 species